rnacentral:rRNA from 1 species
ACCGGGGCUAAUACCGGAUGCUUGAUUGAACCGCAUGGUUCAAUCAUAAAAGGUGGCUUUCAGCUACCACUUACAGAUGGACCCGCGGCGCAUUAGCUAGUUGGUGAGGUAACGGCUCACCAAGGCGACGAUGCGUAGCCGACCUGAGAGGGUGAUCGGCCACAUUGGGACUGAGACACGGCCCAGACUCCUACGGGAGGCAGCAGUAGGGAAUCUUCCGCAAUGGACGAAAGUCUGACGGAGCAACGCCGCGUGAGUGAUGAAGGUUUUCGGAUCGUAAAACUCUGUUGUUAGGGAAGAACAAGUACCGUUCGAAUAGGGCGGCACCUUGACGGUACCUAACCAGAAAGCCACGGCUAACUACGUGCCAGCAGCCGCGGUAAUACGUAGGUGGCAAGCGUUGUCCGGAAUUAUUGGGCGUAAAGCGCGCGCAGGCGGUUUCUUAAGUCUGAUGUGAAAGCCCCCGGCUCAACCGGGGAGGGUCAUUGGAAACUGGGGAACUUGAGUGCAGAAGAGGAGAGUGGAAUUCCACGUGUAGCGGUGAAAUGCGUAGAGAUGUGGAGGAACACCAGUGGCGAAGGCGACUCUCUGGUCUGUAACUGACGCUGAGGC